AGUCCUCCUUAUUUGUAAUGUGCCAAAAUGUAUAAUUGACAAAGAUUGUGAUUUCCUCUCUUAAUGUUGCAGGUUCAUGAAAGCUUUAAGUUAUGCUUCAUUAGAUAAAGAAGACUUAUUAAGUCCUAUUAACCAAAACACACUUCAGCGUUCCUCUUCCGUUCGCUCCAUGGUUUCUAAUGCUACAUAUGGUAGCUCUGAUGAUUACAUUGGCCUUGCGCUCCCUGUGGAUAUCAAUGAAAUAUUUCAGGUAAAGGAAACUCCGUAUUUCCAGAAGAAAACCACACCUCCAUUUGAUGACCGUGGAGCUCGAGUCUUUGCACCCGAUGCAGGAGGUCUACAAUCAGGUACAAGUGAUGUUGUCAAAAGUCCUUUCCAGAUGCUUCGACAGCAGAUCAGUCUCACAGAAAUAAUGAAUACAAGCCGUUCAGAUGCCUCUCAGUUUCUAGAAAAUACAGAGGAUACUGGACUGCAGGAGCACACAG